rnacentral:rRNA from 1 species
GUUGGUGAGAUAACAGCCCACCAAGCCGACGAUGGGUAGCCGAGCUGAGAGGCUGAUCGGCCACACUGGAACUGAGACACGGUCCAGACUCCUACGGGAGGCAGCAGUGGGGAAUAUUGGGCAAUGGGCGCAAGCCUGACCCAGCAACGCCGCGUGAGGGAAGAAGGUUUUCGGAUUGUAAACCUCUGUCGCAGGGGACGAAGAAGUGACGGUACCCUGUAAGAAAGCCCCGGCUAACUACGUGCCAGCAGCCGCGGUAAUACGUAGGGGGCGAGCGUUGUCCGGAAUUACUGGGCGUAAAGGGAGCGUAGGCGGUCAUUUAAGUUGGAUGUGAAAUCCCCGGGCUUAACUCGGGAUCUGCAUUCAAAACUGGGUGACUAGAGUUCAGGAGAGGGAAGCGGAAUUCCUAGUGUAGCGGUGAAAUGCGUAGAUAUUAGGAGGAACACCAGUGGCGAAGGCGGCUUUCUGGACUGACACUGACGCUGAGGCUCGAAAGCGUGGGGAGCGAACAGGAUUAGAUACCCUGGUAGUCCACGCUGUAAACGAUGAAUACUAGGUGUAGGGGGUAUCAACUCCCUCUGUGCCGCAGCAAACGCAGUAA